rnacentral:rRNA from 1 species
GGCGACCGGCGCACGGGUGAGUAACGCGUAUGCAACUUACCUAUCAGAGGGGGAUAACCCGGCGAAAGUCGGACUAAUACCGCAUGAAGCAGGGGCCCCGCAUGGGGAUAUUUGCUAAAGAUUCAUCGCUGAUAGAUAGGCAUGCGUUCCAUUAGGCAGUUGGCGGGGUAACGGCCCACCAAACCGACGAUGGAUAGGGGUUCUGAGAGGAAGGUCCCCCACAUUGGUACUGAGACACGGACCAAACUCCUACGGGAGGCAGCAGUGAGGAAUAUUGGUCAAUGGGCGCGAGCCUGAACCAGCCAAGUCGCGUGAGGGAUGAAGGUUCUAUGGAUCGUAAACCUCUUUUAUAAGGGAAUAAAGUGCGGGACGUGUCCUGUUUUGUAUGUACCUUAUGAAUAAGGAUCGGCUAACUCCGUGCCAGCAGCCGCGGUAAUACGGAGGAUCCGAGCGUUAUCCGGAUUUAUUGGGUUUAAAGGGUGCGUAGGCGGCCUUUUAAGUCAGCGGUGAAAGUCUGUGGCUCAACCAUAGAAUUGCCGUUGAAACUGGGGGGCUUGAGUAUGUUUGAGGCAGGCGGAAUGCGUGGUGUAGCGGUGAAAUGCUUAGAUAUCACGCAGAACCCCGAUUGCGAAGGCAGCCUGCCAAGCCAUGACUGACGCUGAUGCACGAAAGCGUGGGGAUCAAACAGGAUUAGAUACCCUGGUAGUCCACGCAGUAAACGAUGAUCACUAGCUGUUUGCGAUACAGUGUAAGCGGCACAGCGAAAGCGUUAAGUGAUCCACCUGGGGAGUACGCCGGCAACGGUGAAACUCAAAGGAAUUGACGGGGGCCCGCACAAGCGGAGGAACAUGUGGUUUAAUUCGAUGAUACGCGAGGAACCUUACCCGGGUUUGAACGCAUUCGGACCGAGGUGGAAACACCUUUUCUAGCAAUAGCCGUUUGCGAGGUGCUGCAUGGUUGUCGUCAGCUCGUGCCGUGA